rnacentral:lncRNA from 1 species
GAAUUAUAGAAUACUUUCUUGAAACACAAUUAUUUGCCAUUUGAAAUCAAUAAAAACUCUAUUGUUAGGCUUAACAUACUAGUAGCUAUUUAAGUAAAUCUAUUUUUUUCACAAUAUCCCUCAACACAAAACAUUAAUAGUUUCUUAUCAUCCAGCAUUGUUUGAUGGUAUAGUCCACUUUUUGGACAUUCAGCACAGAACUUUGACAUUAUUGUGGUUUCAAUAUUUUUUUGAAUUUAAAAGAACUUCAAAUCAUUGACUGAGUGAUGAAAAUAAUAACUGAUCCAACUUUUGUCUUUGAAUUUAUUCUGGUCUUGUUUCUAUGUUUUCUCCAUUUAUUCUAGGUGGUGAAUUUCAAUCCUUCUGAAAAAGAACCAAUAAAAUCUAAAGUAAUGGAUUAUACAAAAUUGUUUUCAUACAUGUAGCAAUAAUAUGAUUUUCAAUAAAAAUAGCUAUGCGGUAUGGAUUUUACUGAUUGUUAAAGGUUGUCCAGUGUCAUCAGUUG